rnacentral:lncRNA from 1 species
AAUUGGAAAAUCAAACGGCGAUUUCUUCGGACCCUAAAUCGAAUCCAAUUGUAGAAUCAAACGGGGAUUUCUUCAGACCCCAAAUCAAAUUGAAAAAUCAAAUCCAAAUCGAAAUCAAACGAGGAUUUCAUCGGACCCCAAAUCAAAUUAAAAAAUCAAAACAGGAAUUUCUUCGGACCCCAAAUCCAAAUCGAGAUCAAAAGGGGAUUUCUUCGAACCCAAAAUCAAACCAAAAUCAAAAGGGAAUUUCUUCGGAACCGAACCAAAUAGAACCCAAAACCCAAAUAAACCCAAACCAAACCAAGUCCACAUACAAAGCCAAACGGCCCAAACCUAACCAAACCAAGUCCAAAUAAACAUCCAACCCAAAACCAAAAUAAACCGAAACCAAACCAAGUCCACAAAUAAAAUCUAAACCAAGUCCACAAAUAAAACCAAAACCCAAACCCAAAUCAAACGCAAACCCAACCCAAAUCAAGCCCACAAAUAAAAUCCGAACCCAAAUCCACAAAUAAAACCAAACCUCAUGGACCAAAUCCUAUGAGCCAAAACCAACCUCAUGGACCAAAUCCCAUGAGCCAAAACCAAGUUCAUGAACCAAAUCCCACGUACCAAAAUCAAACCUCAUGGACCAAAUCCCAUGAACCAAAACCAAACCUCAUGGACCAAAUCCCAUGAACCAAAACCAAACCUCAUGGACCAAAUCCCAUGAGCCAAAACCAAACCUCAUGGACCAAAUCCCAUGAACCAACCAAAUUUCAUGGACCGAAUCCCAUGAACCAAAAUCAAACCUCAUGGACCAAAUCCCAUGAACCACAACUAAACCUCAUGGACCAAACCCCACAAACCAUACACCAAACCUUAUGGACCAAAUCCCAUAAACCAUACAUCCAACCUAAUGCCCAAAUCUCAUAAACCAAUGCCCAAAUCCCAUGAACCAAUACCCAGAUCUCAUACCCAUAUCUCAUGAACCAAUUAGACUCUAAUACAUAGAGUUUAAUAUCGAUUAGGUCUUAACACAUAUACUUAGGACCUAAUCAACCUCAAAUCCAACUGAAUCCUAAUACAUAUACUUAGGAUUCAAUGAACCGAGAUACGAUCUAUCUCAUCCAAUCUAUAAAGGUCUCUUAAUCGAAGGUGCCCCAAUCUCAAGGGGGUAAUUAACAGUAGAUGCUUGCAUCUAUUGGAAGCCAUGGACCCGCAAUACUUGAUAUCCACAUACAUAUAAAUACUCAUCUGAAUCAUGAAUACUACCCCACGGCUAAAAUCCAUCGACCGUGCGAGGUGCGUCAUUCGUGGUGGCAGACAAUAUUUUACUUCUAUAAAUCCAAUAAAAAUAGUUUCCCACACUAUUUUUAUUUAUUUUUAUUUUUAUACCAAAAUCUGGUAUGUUACAGAGGAAC